UACGGGGGGGGUAAGCGUUGUUCGGAAUUACUGGGCGUAAAGGGCUCGUAGGCGGCCAACUAAGUCGGACGUGAAAUCCCUCAGCUUAACUGGGGAACUGCGUCCGAUACUGGAUGGCUUGGAUUUGGGAGAGGGAUGCGGAAUUCCAGGUGUAGCGGUGAAAUGCGCAGAUAUCAGGAGGAACACCGGUGGCGAAGGCGGGUCUCUGGGCAACAACUGACGCUGAGGAGCGAAAGCGUGGGGAGCGAACAGG
rnacentral:rRNA from 1 species